rnacentral:rRNA from 1 species
AAAGGUAGAUUGAGAGAUUGAAGAUUUAAAAUGUUUUUAAUUAGGUGUGGUACCUUUUGCAUCAUGAUUUGCUGAGAUUAUUCUAAGGAUUUGGUGUCUCGAAGAACUAUGAUAGUCAUUCGAUAUGUUUAGGAUAAAUGGAUAGGUGAGUAAUUUUCUAAAUAAUUGUUUGAUGGGUUGAUAAAUGAGUCGGAUAGUUUUAUAGCUAGUUAAGAAGUGAAUUUGUAUAGGUAGUUUUGUUGCGAAGCGGUGAUGAAAUGGAUGUGGAACUUACUGUUCAUAAUAUUAGUCUAGGGUUAAAGAUACCCAAGACUUAUUAGUGUGUUAUUAUAAAGUAGUAUGCUUGUAGGCGGUUCUCAAGUGAAAACUUCUGUAAAAAUUUUAUUUGAAUUAGUGGCAGAAUAAGUAGAUGUUAUGAUUGUUCCUUUUUUUUCUCGGUACUUGUCGGUCUGUUUUUCAAAAACAUUUCUAUUAGGUAUGAUUGAUAGUACGACCUGCUCUAUGUGUAUUAUAAAUGGCCGCAGUAUAUUGACUGUGCAAAGGUAGCAUAAUUAAUUGUCUCGUAAUUGGGGAAUUGUUUGAAUGGUUAAACCAGAUAAGAAGGAAAAUAAGGAUGUUAAUGGAAAUUUGAUUCUUGGUGCAGAUCCCAAGGAUUGUUAGUAGGACGGAAAGACCCCGAGAGCUUGAUAUUUUUAUUUAUUUGGGGUAGAGGUAAAUUUUUUAUUUAUUUUGAGAUCCCGUAAGGGUAAUAGGUGUAAGUUACCUCGGGGAUAACUAGGUAAGAGAUAAGGAGAGGUCAGAUCGAUUUAUCUAUUUGCCAUCUCGAUGUUGAUUUAAGGUAAUGCAGUGGCGCAGAAGUUUCUGUAUUUGGUCUGUUCGACCAUAGUGCCUUUCAUGAAUUGAGUUAAGACCGGUGCAAGCCAGGUCGGUUCUUAUCUGUUUUUCUUACAGGUUAGUACGAAAGGAUUGCUUGUAAUUUAGGUU